rnacentral:rRNA from 1 species
GAAUGAGCCUGCGAGUUAUGGUGUGUGGCGAGGUUAACCCGUGUGGGGGAGCCGUAGCGAAAGCGAGUCUGAAGAGGGCGUUUGAGUCGCAUGCCAUAGGCCCGAAGCGGGGUGAUCUACGCAUGGGCAGGGUGAAGCUCAGGUAAGACUGGGUGGAGGCCCGAACCCACCAGGGUUGAAAACCUGGGGGAUGACCUGUGUGUAGGGGUGAAAGGCCAAUCAAACUCCGUGAUAGCUGGUUCUCCCCGAAAUGCAUUUAGGUGCAGCGUCGCGUGGUUCUUGCCGGAGGUAGAGCUACUGGAUGGCCGAUGGGCCCUCACAGGUUACUGACGUCAGCCAAACUCCGAAUGCCGGCAAGGUGUAGCGCGGCAGUGAGACGGCGGGGGAUAAGCUCCGUGCGUCGAGAGGGAAACAGCCCAGAUCGCCGGCUAAGGCCCCUAAGUGUGUGCUAAGUGGGAAAGGAUGUGCAGUCGCGAAGACAACCAGGAGGUUGGCUUAGAAGCAGCCAUCCUUGAAAGAGUGCGUAAUAGCUCACUGGUCAAGUGAUUGUGCGCCGAUAAUGUAGCGGGGCUUAAGCACACCGCCGAAGCCGCGGCAGCCACGUUGUGUGGCUGGGUAGGGGAGCGUCCCCAUAUCGGUGAAGUCACCAAGUGAUUGGUGGUGGAGGUGUGGGGAGUGAGAAUGCAGGCAUGAGUAGCGAUAAGGCAAGUGAGAACCUUGCCCGCCGGAAGACCAAGGGUUCCUGGGCCAGGCCAGUCCGCCCAGGGUGAGUCGGGACCUAAGGCGAGGCCGACAGGCGUAGUCGAUGGACAACGGGUUGAUAUUCCCGUACCCGUGUAUGAGCGACCCUGGUGAAUCCAUUCUGCUAACCGCCCAAAACCCGGCCGAUCACCUUUCGGGGUGACGGUUGGGGGCUGCGCGGGACCCGGGUGGGUAGUAGCCAAGCGAUGGGGUGACGCAGGAAGGUAGCCGUACCAGCGAGUGGUAGUGCUGGGGUAAGCCUGUAGGGCGAGGGAUAGGCAAAUCCGUCCCUUGUGUGCCUGAGAGGUGAUGCAUAGCCGAGUGAGGCGAAUUCGGUGAUCCUAUGCUGUCGAGAAAAGCCUCUAGCGAGCGCAUACACGGCCCGUACCCCAAACCGACACAGGUGGUCAGGUAGAGAAUACCGAGGCGUACGAGUGAACUGUGGUUAAGGAACUCGGCAAAAUGCCCCCGUAACUUCGGGAGAAGGGGGACCCACGUACCGUGAACGUCCUUGCGGCGGGAGCGGGGGUGGGUGGCACAGACCAGCGAGAAGCGACUGUUUACUAAAAACACAGGUCCGUGCGAAGUCGCAAGACGAUGUAUACGGACUGACGCCUGCCCGGUGCUGGAAGGUUAAGAGGACCCGUUAACCCUUCGGGGUGAAGCGGAGAAUUUAAGCCCCAGUAAACGGCGGUGGUAACUAUAACCAUCCUAAGGUAGCGAAAUUCCUUGUCGGGUAAGUUCCGACCUGCACGAAUGGCGUAACGACUUCUCGACUGUCUCAACCACAGACUCGGCGAAAUUGCACUACGAGUAAAGAUGCUCGUUACGCGCGGCAGGACGAAAAGACCCCGGGACCUUUACUACAACUUGGUAUUGGUGCUCGAUGCGGUUUGUGUAGGAUAGGUGGGAGACUGUGAAGCCUGGACGCCAGUUCGGGUGGAGUCGUCGUUGAAAUACCACUCUGAUCGUAUUGGGCAUCUAACCUCGAACCCUGAAUCGGGUUCAGGGACAGUGCCUGGCGGGUAGUUUAACUGGGGCGGUUGCCUCCUAAAAAGUACGGAGGCGCCCAAAGGUUCCCCUCAACCUGGACGGCAAUCAGGUGUUGAGUGUAAGUGCACAAGGGAGCUUGACUGCGAGACGGACAUGUCGAGCAGGGACGAAAGUC